CUGCCCGCCCCUAUAGCCACCGGCCUGACCCCAGGGCCGCCCUGGGCCCGUGGGCACUCACACUUCCUCCAUCUGCACGUCCUCCUUGUCCUCCUGCGGCAGCUGCAGGUACGGGUUGUCCCCUGCGGGCUGGAACUUGUAGCCCGUGAGCACGAAGAAGGCCAGAGUGGAGCCCUCCACCAACAGCUGGGGGCGGAGGGAGCAGAACGGAGUGUGUGGGGGGGCUGGGGGGGGCAGCCCCUGGCCCGGCGCCGCCCCCCACCCACUUGGGGCCUCCAGCUCACCUGGUACAGCCACUGCCACUGGAAGGGCACGGCCACCCGCAGCAGGAUGGCGAUGAUGCGCGUGAAGUAGACGUAACAGAUGACCUGCAGGAGCACGGGGUGGGCACGGGCAGAGGGACCAUCAAGACCGUGGGACCACCGUGACGGUGGGUCUAGGGUGGAGCCCAGGGGCAAAGGGCAGAGGGGAGGGUGCACCGACGGCAGAGGAAGUGGAGGUGCCAAUGGCUGGCUGUCCCUGCCUGCUCCGCCCACCUCCCACGUGGGACCAAGGCCAGCCCCCCACCCUGGUGCCAGCCGGGCUCCUACCAUGAUGUAGUAAUGCCGAAACAGCUUCAGCUUGACCAGGUUCACUGCCACUGAGGGGUGGGCACAGAGAGUGGGGGUCAGGGGAAGAAGACCGAGGGCAUGGUGGGGAGGGGGAAUUAGAGCCUGGUGGGGGGGACAGGGAGACAUUUGGGGUACUGUCCAGGGUAGAAAAUUUGGAGGGGGAUGUCCAGCAGAGAGCGAGAGGGUCACCCAGGGAGUAGAGAGACAAGAGAGGGUGGUCAGGAAGGUGGAAAGAGAUCAAAGGGGCUGGGCUGAGGCAUCGAAGGGGCAGAUUGGCCAGCUGGAGGCGUCCAAGGGGGCAGUGAGGCCAGGAGGGGCAUCCAGAGGGUACAAAGAAGGGGCAGGAAGAGGGCUGGGGGCAAAGGCUCCCGAGGAGCAAGGAGAGGGCCUCUCACCCUUCCCAUCAGUGCCAGACGCGUCCUGGAGAUGCCGGAUGGACCUGGGCAGGGGAGCGGGGGGCAGUGUUUGGUCAGCACUGCCCCAGCUGCUCCCCGUGCGGGUGGGGGGUGGGGUGGCUGGGGGCCCUCACCAGACAACCGGGAAGAGGAUGGCACCACAGCAGAUGAGGUCCACCAGGAAGAGAAUCUCCUUCCAGAGGCCGUAGUCGCUGGCGCCCUCCUCGCGGGACUCGAUGACGAUCACGUACUUGACAAAGGCCCAGCCAGAGCCGAUCAGGGCGAUGGUGAUGAAGAGGAGGGCACCCUUCAGCCUGGAAGGGGGUAGGGGUGGAGUGUGAGGAGACGGGGAGCCCGCCCUCCCCUGCCCGCCCGCCACCUGCCCGCAGAGAAGGGCACUCACAGGUGUGUGAUGUAGUGCAUGACAGCAAGGCCCUCGAUGGGGUGGCCCUGGCUGUUGAUGAAGUAGUAGUUGAUCUGGAGGUGGACGGAUGGACGGACAGUCAGACAGAUGGGCGGGUGGGGGACAGUGGUUACGACUGGGUGGAUGGUGGGGGUAUGGGAACACGGCCAAUCGCUGCCAAUGGGAGGUCAGAAGUUGAACGAACAGGCAGUUAUCAUUGGAAGGAUGGCAGCUGGGCUCAGAAAUGGAUGUUCAGGGUCAGGUCAACACUGGACAGUUGGGCUGAGGGACGGACAGACAGGCUGAGAGAAGUUUGGUCAGAGCUGGAACAAUAGAUGGGCAGUCAGACCGAGGGACGGACAGCCACAACUAGGACGACGGAUGGACAAUCAUAGCUAGACAGGUGGACAGUUAAGACAGUCCGUCUGGUGAAAAGUCACAGUUGGACGGAAGCACAGACGGCGAGAUGAAGGGAUGGACAGCUGGCCAUGAGAAGACAGGAAGGACGAUAAGAUGGAUGGACACGUGGACAGCUGGGCAAAUGGAACUCCCAAGCCCAGGGUCUGCAGAGAUCUGGGGGAUGGUCUCUGCCAUCUCUUCCUCCCGGACCCAGAGGCCCCGGCACCCCCUCCCCGCCUGCUCCCCGGCCAGCCCAAGGCUCUCACACUGUGGAAGAGGAGGGAGAUGCUCUUGGUGAAAGCCAGGGCCGCCAUGAGCCAGUGGAUCUUGAAGACGUUGUACCUGGCAGAGAACAGACACCCAGAAGAUGCCGGCGGCCAGGAAGCAGGCGGACAUGACCAUGUAGAGCUUGAAAAGGGGAAUUUCCGCUGCUGACAGGAAACCCUCGGGGUUCUUCUCCCGGAUCAUCACCUGGGGAGGGGAAGUGGGGGGCGGUGGGGGGUUGCACUGCCUUUGUUCUGGAUGCCGCGCAGCUGUGAGGCUGAGUCUCCAGCCCUCCCACUUUCUACCCGGGCAAGCCUCAGUUUUCCUACACCCCCAAAUGGGCAUAAUAAUUACCCCUUCACAGUACUGCUGGGCGGAUUUUAAGGAGCUGAACUUGGGGUGCAAUCCCAUCUCCCUCCCCUCUGCUCACCGUGAUGUCGAAUGGCUGUUCCUUUCCCGGCACCGAGUUGUAGCAGUUGUGGAAGUUGAGGUUGUACUGACCCUCUUCGGCCCUGGAGCCGAUCACCACGUGGAACUAGGAGUGGGGGACAGAAGGGGGCUCAGCUUGGGGGUUCCCCACUCAUGGAGGGAAGGUAGGGCCACGGGCACUGCAGACACUCACGCUGAAGUUGUAGGAGUCAUUGAGGUGGCCAAGAUCCAGCACCAGCUCCUUAUCCUUCUCACUGGUGCCCUGAGGGGACAGACGUCUCCUUAAGGGUCCCGGUUCCCAGAUGCCCCCGGGGUAGGGUUUUCUCCCUCCCACCCUGGGUCCCCCCAAACCUGCUGGCGUCCUUGAGACACCAUGGGCUGCUUGUCCUUGUUCUCUGCGGUGGCCCCUGCAGGAUGUGACCAAGGCCCAGUGGAGACAGUGAAUAAGUUCAGAGAAGGACAGACAGAGGGAUGGCAGGAAAAAUAGGGUGCACGGGGAAGCCCUGUCCCUUCACCCCUCCUUGCCUGCAAGGGUAGCCUGACUCACCGGGGCCCACCACAGGCGUGACCUUGUGCUCUGGCUUCGGGGGCACUUCGGGGAGGAGCCCAGGGCUGAUGUACAGCUUCUUCUGCUCCCCAUACUUUCUCACCUGGACCCUGGAGUGAGGGUGAGAGGCUGAAGGCUGGGGCUGGGCACGCAACCUGGGCCCAAGGACUCGGACCCCUGGGCCUUCUGGAGCAACCCCCCACCCCACCCUCAAAACACGCAAGGGAGGACAGAGUUAGUGGUCCCCAAAUUUCCUCAUUUUCCCAUCAAGAUGGCGGCCACGUUUGUGCACUCGCGCUAGCCAUCACUUAUCCUUUCCCAUUAUGUGAGCUUGCUUGUUUGACUUGAGUACGUUCUUUUAAAAAGAAAACAUUUUCUCCACAGGGAGGCCACAAGGUAUAGUUCGACUCUGGCACCAGGCUGCUUGGGUCUGGAUCCCCAUUCUAGUGCCUCAGUGUUCUCAUCUGAAGAAUGGGGAUAAUUAACAGUAUAUGGUUCCCAGUAUAUGCCUGGUGCAGAGGGAGCUUUCCACAAGCAUCGACCACUGUUAUUCUCACAGCGACCCUCUGCAUUCCUGCAUGUGACCUGAACGCUUUGGAGAACCCCUCCUCUCUCUUCCUCCAUCCUCUAAUCAGAAGUUAUUAGGGUUCUUUACAGUUGGCUUCUUAUCCCACAGAAACUAUUGCAGGGACACAGUAUCAUGGUAUACAGGGGGGACAGGGAUGAUGGAUCUUUAGGGGGCCCCUGUUCCCCCCAACUCACUGCAGAUCCUUGGUGUUGAUGAGAAAGAGGACCAGGAAGUUGCUACUGUUUUUCAGGAGUGGGCAGUCUUGGGAAUCUCGGUUCUGGGGAGCAGCCAGAGGGAGCUCUAGUCAGCCCCUCCCAUGGGCCCAGCCUUGCCUGCCCCUCGCCCCAUCUACCCAUCCCAGAGAGGGUCUCCUCCUGCCUCUCUCACCCCUGGCCCUGAGGUUCCAGAGGCAGAAGACAGACAACCCCCUCCUCCCAGCCCCUUUUCCCUCCCCCCCACCCCCUCCACUCACUGAGUACGAUCGAACGCUGCCAGAUCGAACCCGGCUCAGACUGAAACCCACCUGGCGGGUGGAAAGAAAAAGGAGGACAUGAGGACAUCAGCAGGGAUUCCUGAGCCACUAUUUCCAGUAGCAGCAAGAAAUGAAAGCUCACGUUUCUGAUGCACCUACUAUGUGCCAGACCCCACAUUCUCUCGCAACUCAUCCCCACCCCUCAUCCCUUCCCUUUAACUCCUAAACAUCCAGUGGGUGACUCAAUUUGGAUGUCACUUGCUCAGGGAGCCCUGACCUGCUCCGUGAGACCUAGCCCACUCUGUAUCCCCCCCCCCCCC